rnacentral:rRNA from 1 species
AGAGAGAGACAUGCGCGCAUAUCAAUAAGCGGAGGAAAAGAAACUAACAAGGAUUCCCCUAGUAACGGCGAGUGAAGCGGGAAGAGCUCAAAUUUGAAAUCUUAAAGGGUUUCCCUUUACGAAUUGUAGUUUAAAGAAGUGUUUUCUGUUGAGGUUUUGGUAAAAGUUCUUUGGAAUAGGACAUCAUAGAGGGUGAGAAUCCCGUAUUUGACCUUUACUUUCAACUUUGUGAUACACUUUCAAAGAGUCGGAUUGUUUGGGAAUGCAGUCCAAAAUGGGUGGUAAAUUUCAUCUAAAGCUAAAUAUUGGCGAGAGACCGAUAGCGAACAAGUACCGUGAGGGAAAGAUGAAAAGAACUUUGAAAAGAGAGUUAAACAGUACGUGAAAUUGUCAAAAGGGAAGCGUUUGACACCAGUGUUGUUUUUCUGAAAAUCAAUUAAAGAACUGUUUAUGCUAAGUUGUUUAGACUUUAUCAGCUAACUGUUUAGUUUUGAGCCUUUCUUUAAUGCACUUUUCAGUUAACAAGUCAACAUCAAUUUCUUUUGCUGUAAAAAAGCUUGAGGAAGGUGGCUUGAGAUUCGUCUUAAGUGUUUAUAGCCUCUUGCCUAUGCAGUCGGAGAGAUUGAGGUCUGCAGCGUAGAUCCUUCGGGGCUAAAUGCAUUUGUGCUAAGUUAUAGCAUUUUAUAGACAACUUGUUGACUAUGAUUUGUCUUGUAGCUUACUCGCUUAUGUUAUUUUACCUACGCUUAGGAUGUUGAGCGCAUGUCUCUCUCU